UACGUAGGGAGCGAGCGUUAUCCGGAAUUAUUGGGUGUAAAGGGUGCGUAGACGGGUAAAUAAGUUAGUUGUGAAAUCCCUCGGCUCAACUGAGGAACUGCAACUAAAACUGUAUAUCUUGAGUGCGGGAGAGGAAAGUGGAAUUCCAUGUGUAGCGGUGAAAUGCGUAGAUAUAUGGAGGAACACCGGUGGCGAAAGCGGCUCUCUGGCCUGUAACUGACACUGAGGCUCGAAAGCGUGGGGAGCAAACAGG
rnacentral:rRNA from 1 species